GGAACUUCUGCCUUGGAGGUGCUUCAGCAGACAGUUUUUCCUCAUCAAAUGCUCCCAGUUAAUGGUGAUGUUUUGAAAGCAUCUAUCUCAUGGUCAACAGCAAAGAUGCUGAUGAACUAACCAGCUAGUAGUUGGACUUUGUGCCUCCAAGACUGAUGAUCUAGCCAGUUUACUGCCUAUCUUAUCAUCCAUUCUUCCAAUCCACACCUAACAACUUUGUCUAGAAUGUAUGAGGUGACAAGAGGAAGAAUGAAACCACUGGGAACCAAGAGAAGAUUCUCUGUCAGGGUCUGUACAAUAGCUGCAG
rnacentral:lncRNA from 1 species